rnacentral:misc_RNA from 1 species
UGAUGUGAGGAUGCUAAUGAUCUGUUAUGGAAGGUGAAAGUGGUUAAGGAAAACUACUUUGAUAGGCUUCCAUGGCAGCCAGAGCUGUGAAUACCCAUAAGUCUGCAAAUAGGAUACUUUUGGUAAAAAAAAAUGAGCAAUUUAGAUUGAUUUUAUUGUUUAUAUGCAAGUUUUAUUGCUUAAAGUUAUAUUUGUAUUGCAUUUCUAAGUUUCUUUGACAAUUAGAUUGGUUAUUCUUGUGUUCCUUCUGGACAAACACUAAAUUUGAGGUGUAUUGAGGCCACCGGAGACCGUAGGCUGUUAAGAGGUUUAUCCUUACCAAUGAGGGCCAUGUAAAAUGCCAUGUAAACAAGUAAACCCUGAAUUUUAGUCAAAUUUGAACACUGAAUGCACAAUAAAAUUCAAACUUAGAAAGGAGUUUUCUAUUUAUUGUAUUUUGCUUCAACCUUUGACCUUGCUGAAUUUAUUUCAUGUCUGAUUUUCCUGGAUGUACAACAGCUGAAUGGCAGUUGUUAUUAUAUUAGCAUAAUCUCUUGCGUUCUUACUCGAUCUGAAAUUAACCUUAAUUCUUAUUGUAUUCAUGACAUUUGCUGUAUUAUCUUCUCAAGCAACUAAGCCAUUGUUACUAGGCAUGACCUUAGAUUAGAUAUUAAAAUACGUUGAUUCUUGAGAAUUUUAUUUCUUUAUGUUGUGCAGCGUGUAAAAUAUAAAAAAAGUAAAGUACAUAUAAAAUAUUAAUAUUUACGUGGUUCUCCUAUCUACGUAGAGUUAUAUACAUGGACAUGCCAUCUUUCACUAUUUUCAAUAAAAAAUCAAUUAUCAAUUGCAAGAUCAAGACUAUAAUACCUAUUAACCUAAUUACUCCCAAAACUCUCAC